AAAGAACAACACAAUAAGACCACAUGACAAGUUCAUAGCUAACAUCAUACUUAACAGAAAAAAAGUUUAAUGCUUUUCUUCUGAAAACUGGAAAAGACAAAGAAGCCAACUCUCAGCACUUAUUCAACACAGUACUGAAGGUACUAGCCAGAGCAGUUCGACAAGAGAAAGAAAUAAAGGGGAUUACAAUUAGAAAAAAGGACACUCUCAUCUGCUCUGGUCCCUGCCCUCUCUUCAGUUGUCUCACCCCAGAGCUUGGUAUAUAGUAGGAGACAUGCAAAUAGAGCCCUCCCUCUGCUGACGAAAACAAGCACAGCCCUGACCCUGCAGUUCUGGGAGAAGAGCCCCAGCCCUGGGAUUCCCAGCUGUUUCUGCUUGCUGAUCAGGACUGCACACAGAUAGCUCACCAUGGAGUUUGGGUUGAGCUGGGUUUUCCUUGCUGCUAUUUUAAAAGGUGUCCAGUGUGAGGUGCAGCUGUUGGAGUCAGGGGGAGGCUUGGUACAGCCUGAGGGGUCCCUGAGACUCUCCUGUGCAGCCUCUGGAUUCACCUUCAGUAACUACUACAUGAACUGGGUCUGCCAGGCUCUGGAGAAGGGGUUGGAGUGGUUCUCACCUAUUAAUAGAGAUGGGAGUAGCAUAAGCUAUGCAGACUCCAUGAAGGGCCAAUUUACCAUCUCCAGAGACAACGCCAAGAACACGCUAUAUCUGCGAAUGAACAGUCUGAGAGCCGAGAACACGACUGUGUAUUACUGUACUAGAGACGCAGUGAGGGGACCUCAGUGUGAACUCAGACACAAACCUUCCAGCACCCAAGACCACAAGGAGGUGUCCAGAGCCCUAUGAACUGGGCUGUUCUCAGUGGCAGGGGCUGGUGGUGUUAAAGGUUGAUUUUCUCUCAGCAUCUGGGGCUGACUCAUCAUCAAGUUUCCUCAGAGAACCUUUCAGAUUUACAAUUCUGUGCUGACAUUUAAUGUCUCUGAAUGUGAAACAUUUCUCCCCGAUGUUUCUUUGUUUUUGUGACAGGAGGACACAUUCUCACCUCCACAUAAGCCCUAGUGUCGCUUUGGGGACAGAAAUGACCCUGCCCGGGUCACCAGAAUCAGAGUCCCCAGGAAGCCCAGGGGAACCUGGGAAGUGUUUUUCAAUCAGACUCAGGGCAGGCGUCUCAGUGGGAAUCUCUGAUUGGAACAGGAUUUGGGAUUCAGAUUGGGACCAAGAGGGAGGCUCACCCAGGGCCAGGGUCCUUAGAAUCCUGAUAGUUUUCACAGUAGCUCCAUCAUGCUUUAAAACUGAACACCCAACUCAAACUGAUCCAUUUGGCCCUUUCUCUGUAAUCCAUUUUCCUUUUCUCUAGGCUUCAUUCUUACACUUCCCCUUUUUCCUCUUUUCUGAAAAUGGAGGGUGUGCUUCCUGUGGUCUAAACCACAGGCCUCAGACACAUUACCUGCAAGUCAGGUGUGGCUCAGGCUGUGGCUCCUGUGGACCUGGCAGGCUGAGGGAUCUUUCUCAUUCCCUGGUGCCUGGAUGCCCCUGCUGUCUUCUAUGCGUGCAUGCAUUUGGGGAAAGAAAAUGGACACUCAUGGUCGUUUCCUCAAAUGGGAUACUGAUGUAGAGCUGAUCUUGUGCUUCUCACCCUGUCACAGAGCUCCCACCCUCACCUGUGACUUUCGGAGAGCUGAUUUUGGAAAUUGUUGUGCUGUGAGCUCUACGUGAUGGCAAUUGUGAAGUCUGGGUGAGCACAGGCAAAGUCAGUGGAGCCGGCCAUCAGGAAAGACAGGCUGGAUUUCCUGGGAAGCCCUACAUCUGCUGUCCAUCAUAGAGUUCCAUUGUCUUCUCUUCUGCUAGGAUUAAAUCAGACCAAACAAGUUCAUCCAGGACAAUCUUCCUGACCUAGAGAAAAGUGAUGACAGGCUUUAAUAACACCUGUAUUAUACAUCAGAGCAACACCUAGAUUAGUGUUUGAUUGAAUAUCUGAGACUAUGUUCCAGUCAAGAUGACACACAACUGAUUAUUACCAUGAUUAAAAUUUUAUAUUUUAUACUGAUUAAUAUUUUAAAACUAAUAUUAAUCAAUGCAAUAUUAAUUUAAUAUUAAAAAUUGGUAUUU